CUCUGCUCCGGUCAGCAGGACCCGCCCCUGACGCGCCCGCCCUCCACUCCCCCGCUCGCCCGCGUGCGGGUCGCACGCACGCGCCGCCCAUCCCGCCCUGCGAGGACAAGUUCUUCAUCAAGUCCCCCUGCUACGACUUCCUCUGGAGCGACAGCGGGAGCAAUCGCAUCAGGGGCAUCGUCGACGCCGUCAGGAAGAACAAGCCCGGACGACCCAUACUGCCCGAAAAGGAGGACUUGUGUGAGGGACUCGGCAACCCCGAUUGUCUUCGUCGGCGUUAAGGGUCUUCCUGCACCACGUCGACUCGCCACUGCACCGACUCAGAAUAUGGAGACAAGCAGGAGCGGGUCAGGAGAGAGUUUUGGAAAUUUUUCAAGUGUGAAGAGGGAUAUGAGGUGAUGGCGGAGAAGAACUUGGUGAAAGGUGCUAGGAAAGGCAUUUCCGACAUGCACUACGAGGAGCGCCUCAUUUGCAUCGUCAAGUACCAUGCCAAGCGACUUGGUCAGAAAAUCACCAAGACACGGGCAAGACAAAGGCCUUUGACCAGGGAAUAGUUCCUUGAGAAGAUUCCUUGGUGGUGCGAGUCGUAUGCCGACUGUUGGGAGAUGAUUGUGGACAGGUGGUUCACAGCGGAGUAUAUCCAGGAGCACGAAUCCCACCGGAAUCGGGCCUUGCAGGCGAGAGGCCCCACACACCACCAAGGCAGUCGCAGCCUCAGCGCGUACAAGCAAGCAUGGUCGGUGUCGCAUAGUGGCCAGUCUGUGUCCACGUUCAUGGCGUAUGGACUUGCCCGCAAGGGAAAGGCGACUUCUAGUGCCACCUUCAGCCCCGACGACCCGCCCGAGUCGUACAGCAAUCCGAACGCCUACACCCGCAUCAGCUCCUAUGCCUCGGAGGCAUGGUCGGUCCAGGGGCCAGACUGGGAUCCGAGCACCGACGAUAUAGAUGGGCCGAUUGUCAUGAGGAUUGGACAAGGCAAGAAGCAUGGGCGGUACUGGCUUGGCGAUGGCAGCCUCGACACCAGCUCUGUUCCCAGCCUCUCCCAGAUCCGGGCACAGACCCCGACCGGAGGCCCGGCCAUAUGCCAACGGUCGUCCCCUUCAUAGCAGCGGGUCGAUGCACUCUAGGCCGAGAACGAGAGGAUGGCUCAGGAGCUGCGAGACCUGGCUGCGAGGACCGAGCAGGCCGAGCGAGAACGACAGGCCGAGCGGGAAAGGCAGGCCAAGCAGUUGGUGGAGAUUAUGGCGUACCUGCACAACAUUGGCCACCUCACCGGUGUACAACCGCCACAAUUCACUCCACCGCCGUAAGUUUUCGCUAGCCCGCCUCCGUCGGCGGGUUCGAAUAACCCAUCUCAGGCGCAAGCAGGUGACGGUGCUUUUCCUUCACCAGGCACUCAGUUUCCACCUCAGCUCUAGUUUGUUUAUCUUUUUCACCACUUGAUGGACAUGUGAUGGACUGUGAACGACUAUCGACUUGUGAAGAUGGAUAUUGAACCUAUUAUGUUUAUGUCGUCGUGUAUGUGAGAUAUUGUGUGCUUGUGAUGUGAUAUAGAUGUGGAUUUGAGUUUGUGAUGAGAUGGAUACGAUAUAUAUGUGCUAUAUUGUGUUUGUGAUA